rnacentral:lncRNA from 1 species
CUUAUUUGACAAUCCAGGUACCGUUCCCUGCACGGGUGACCAAGAUUGUAAAGUCCUUACAGGUUAUGUAGGUGAGUGUACUAAUGGCUUUUGUGAGUACUAUAGGCUUUAGGUGUGAUUCACUUGAAUGUGAAGGGAAAGACAUAUCUGCAUGAAUAACCUGAAGAACAAUAAGAGAGCAUGUCUGGAUUUUUUAGUCGUGUUCAUUUAUCUACAAUUUGUUAAUAAAAAAGCUAUUAUUUAUUUUCACUUAUGAAGAUGAUACAUAUGCUUGUAACAAAAAAAUGUAAUAUAUAAUUACAUAAAUUUAUAAUUUUGCUUUACAUAUAGUAUGUAUUCAAAUUACUCAGGCGGUCUUCUUAACUUUUCAAAAAAAUUAAAUUGUUGUUUUCUUCACUCCACUUUUUUAUAGGAUAUAAAAGAUUAAAUUAUUUUUAUUACAUAUCGGUGUAAAAUUAAUUUACAUCGACGAUAUGUAUCCUUUAAUUUUUUUUUGUCAACAUUUUGUUCAAGUUGUCAAUGUACAAUUUUAAAGAAUUGGGUUGAAUACCUUUUAAUUCUUCUAAACUAGCGUCCAGACAGGGUGCGUUCUGUGUCUGUCCGUGUCUAUUAUGUAAAUUUAUGUAAAAAAAAAUGCCUUAUAACCUUACGUUAUGGUGGUUUGUUGUAACAUCCUAAACUGCUUUCAGGAUGACCGAUUGACCCCACAAACCAACACGAGUCUUUUUCAGCGUACUUUGUCCUUACUCGCAUCUUUUUCUGGAAAACUUCCCAGAAGGUCACACAUCCAAAGACUACUCCAAGUCAAAGACGUUUAACUGUAGAGUUCUUAUCAAAUGAGCUACCGAAAAGAAGAUGCAUCUUGUUGGUAUAGGUAGUACCCAUCAAUCCUUAUAAGCCUUCAUUCCACCAUGCAAUCUUAAACCUGCACAGCCUCAAGAUCCCUCUCAUUUCGAUGUGAUUCGUUUUUGCCUAGAAGCUGCUAGGAGCCGCUAAUUGUCAUGUCUCAUGCACCGACAACCACGCCCCGCCCUCAUCAGACCCGGGCGUUACAUGCCCACCAGCUUUCGCCUGGUUCGUCCCCAAACCACAUCGUACUGGGAGAGGUCUGCUCUGAUACCAUUUGUAACAUUCCAAACUGCUUUCAGGAUGACCAACUGACCCCACAAACCAACACGAGUCUUUUUCAGCGUGCUUUGUCCUCACUCGCACGUUUUCCGGGAAAACUUCCUAGAAGGUCACCCAUCCAAAGACUACUCCAAGUCAAGCACGCUUAACUAUGGAGUUCUUAUCGAAUGAGCUACCAAAAAGAAGAUGCAUCUUGUUGGUAUAGGUAGUACCCAUCAAUCCUUAUAAGCCUUCAUUCCACCUUGCAAUCUGAAACCUGCACAGCCUCAGGAUCCCUCGCAUUCCGAUGUGAUUCGUUUUUGCCUAGAAGCUUCCAGGAGCCGCUAAUUGUCAUGCCUCAUGCACCGACAACCACUCCCCGACCUCUUCAGACCUCGGGCGUUGAUAAGUGCUAAAUUUUAGUGCUUUUACCUAUACAUUUUAAGCACUUAUUAACCUAUUUUAUAGGCAAUUUGAUGCAAAACCUCCAACUAUUUGUAAAUAUUAGUUUUAACUAGCAAAUUAAUAUUUUAACUAUUUUCACCUAUUUCUAAUCACUUUUGUAGGUUAAUAUAUCUCCUAGUUUUUAAUACUAUAAUAGUUAUUUAAUAUUGAACUUAUAUAUUUAUAUGACAGGUUAUUAAAAGAAAAGUAUAGAAGCUUAAUUAAGAAUGAAGAAAGCCAAAAGCUAAGAGGCGGUCAAGUGGAAGGUGCCACCGUUUAUUGUUUAUUAGUACCAAAGUACUUAAGUGUUAAGUUUCAAAGCCCCUAUAUAAGGCAUGCAAGACCAAGCAUAAUCGUUGAGUGGUUUUGAAUGGUACUGAGGUAGUUGAAUUGACUCUAGGAUUCAGAACAAACAUAAUCGUUGAAAGUGAGAAUGAAGUUCAUGCUAUGUUUUGAAUCCCAGAAUCAUUCUCUUCCUCAAGUCUUACUGAUUUGAAAAACUUGUGCUUGGAACACUUGGUGAUAAAGUGUAUGUUUAUUGAGUUCACAUGCCUUGAUUUUAGGACUCACAACAAAACAUAGUUGUUUUGUAUUUCGAGAGUUGUAUAUCUGAGUUCUAAAAUCAAGCAUAUGACUUUAUACCUUGAUGGAAUGUGUGAGGAGAUGGUCUAUAUGGAGGUGGGUGAAAGGAAUGACUGUUCUUGGCAUUUUGACAUAAUAAGGAUGCCAAUUUUUGUGUGAAAAAUCUCCAAAACCGUGAUUCUUUUAAAAUGCACCUCCUCGUAUCGUGCCUACGAUGAACAGUAUCGUGGCGCGAUGAUUUGGCUGUGUACAAGCUGUCUUCGUCCUUUUCUUGUCAUCGUCGCGCGAUGAUAGGCAUCGUGGCACGAUGACGGCUGACUUUAGUUGUUGACUUGGUCAAAUCUUGCAAUCUUUUUCCUAAAAAUGACAUAUUUUUGUAUUUUUGUGAUGAUAGGUUGCCUCCUAUUAAGCGCUUGUUUAACGUCGCGAAUCUGACACGAAUGUUUAAUGUUAUUCGUCCGUGUAUAAUAAAACUUCUUUCUGCACGGGUAUUGUUCCCCCUUCGUAUAUUUUCACGCGGUGUCCAUUCACUUUGAAUUUCAUGGAUGUUUUCGGGUCAAACAGCUCUACUACUCCAAAUGGUGAUACUUUUGUUAUUACGAAAGGUCCGGUCCAUUUGCAGCGUAGUUUUCCUGCAGUGAAUUUAAACCUAGAGUUGUACUCCAAUGCUUGUUGUCCUGGUUCAAACUCUUUCUUUUUUAUCUCCUUGUCGUGAAGUCGCCGCGUCUUUUCUUUAUAGAUAGUAGCANGUAUGCUCGUAGUCGUAGCUCCUCCAAUUCGUUGAGUUUGUCCAGUCUUGCUUGUCCUGCCAGUUGUUCAUCAAAGUUCAAAAAUAUGGUCGCCCAUAAUGCCUUAUAUUCCAAUUCUACUAGCAAGUAACAACUUUUUCCGUACACUAGUUGGUAUGGUGUUGUUCCGAUAUUGGUUUUGUAUGCCCAAAGUGCAUCAUCGAGUUUUUUCGCCCAAUCUUUCCUUGAAAAUGCUACAGUUUUUUCCAAUAUCUGUUUCAGUUGUCUAUUUGAUACUUCUACCUGGCCACACGUUUAUGGGUGAUAUGGCGUAGACACUUUAUGUUUUACUCCGUAGUGCAGCAGACUCUUCUCUAGAUACUUGUUUAGGAAAUGGGUUCCUCCAUUACUGAUGAGUAUUCUGGGAACUCCGAUUCUGGAGAAAAUGUUCUUUUUUAAGAAGGAAAUCACUGUCUGAGCAUCGUUUGUUACACAUGCUUGUGCUUCAACCCAUUUAGUUAUGUAGUCCACACAUACUAGGAUGUACGUUUUAUUAUCGGAUAUAGGAAAUGGUCCCAUAAAAUCUAUCCCUCAGCAGUCAAAGGGUUCUAUUUCUAAAAUCCCUUGCUGUGGCAUUUCGUCUCUUUUGGAGAUGUUACCUAUUCGCUGGCACCUAUCACAUUGCUGUACGAACUGAUCACAAUCUUGGUAGAUUGUUGGCCACCAAAAUCCGCUGUGUAGUAUUUUAGUAGCUGUUCGCCUACCGUUAUGGUCCCCCCCGUAGUCUGAAUUAUGGCAAUGCCACAUAAUUUUCUGUGCUUCUUCUUCAUUUACACAUCUUCUCAUGAAUCCAUCUUUCCCUUCUCUGUAAAGAAAUGGAACAUCCCACUAGUAUUGCCUAGCUUCCCUUAAGAAGUGUUUCCUUUGUUGCCAUGUGUAUUCUUUUGGGACAACCCUUACUGCCUUGUAGUUGGCCAUAUCUACAAACCAUGGUCUUUGUGAUACAUGUAGCAGCUGUUCAUCUGGGAACUCCUCCGCAAUGCUCCUUUCUUUGUUUGUUACUUCAGGAUUCUUUAGACGUGAUAAAUGAUCUGCCACCACAUUCUCUACUCCCUUUUUGUCUUUAAUCUCUAGGUCAAAUUCCUGUAAUAACAAAAUCCAUCGAAGGAGACGAGGCUUUGAUUCCUCUUUUGUCAAUAAAUGCUUUAGUACAGCAUGGUUUGCAUAAACUGUGACCUUUGAACCUACCAGAUAUGAUCUAAAUUUGUUCAAAGCAAAAACUACUGCCAGUAAUUCUUUUUCUGUUGUUGCAUAAUUAAUUUGAUGUCCGUUCAUCACUUUACUAGCAUAAUAGAUUGCAUGAAAAAACUUAUCAUGGCGCUGUCCUAAAACUGCGCCUACCGCAUAGUCGCUAGCAUCGCACAUAAGUUCGAAUGGUAAGUUUCAAUCGGGUGCAACAAUGACUGGAGCGGUGACUAGUCCCUCUUUUAAGGUAUUGAAGGCCUCAAGGCAUUCUUUAUCAAAUUUAAAAACGACAUAUUUAUUUAGUAGAUUGCAAAGCGGUAAUUUGGAUGUUUUUGAGAAAUCUUUCAUGAAGCAUCGGUAAAAUCCUGCAUGUCCAAGGAAGCUUCAUACUCCCUUGACAUUAAUGGGGGGUGGUAAUUUUGAUAUUACUUCGACUUUUGCCCUAUCCACCUCUAUGCAUUUCUUAGAAAUUUUGUGACCAAGGACAAUGCCCUCAGUAACCAUAAAAUGAAAUUUCUCCAAGUUGAGAACUAGGUUUGUGUCGACACAUAUUUUUAAAGCGGCAUCUAGGUGGUCUAAGCAAUUAUCGAAGGUUUUACCAAAGACAGAAAAAUCAUCCAUGAAUAAUUCCAUGAACUUUUCAAUCAUAUCAGAGAAAAUAGAAAGCAUGCACCUUUGAAAUGUUGUUGGUUCGUUGCACAAGCCAAACGACAUUCUCCUAUAGGCGAAUACUCCAUAGGGGCAUGCAAAAGUUGUCUUCUCUUGGUCUGCUGGGUCUACUGCUAUUUGAUUGUAUCCGGAAUAUCCGUCUAAGAAACAAUAGUAUGCUUGGCCGGCGAUUCUCUCGAUCAUUUGAUCUAUGAAUGGCAACGAGAAGUGGUCCUUCCUGGUGGCUUGAUUCAACCUUCUAUAAUCUAUGCACAUACGCCAUCCGGUUACGUUUCGAGUAGGAAUUAACUCGUUCUUUUCAUUCCUCAUGACUGUUAUUCCUCCUUUCUUUGGCACUACAUGCACUGGGCUUACCCAUUUNNNNNNNGCUGCCAGUAGUUUAUCUACCUCCUUUUUUACUACUUCACUCAUUGUUGGAUUUAGUCUGCGCUGCGGUUGCACUACCGGUUUGUAUUCUUCAUCUAAUUUUAUUUUGUGCAUGCAGUAUGCAUGGCUUAUUCCUUUGAGAUCGUCAAUACUCCACCCAAGUGUCGUUUUGUUUUUAUUUAAGAUGGAAAGGAGUCUGCCUUCUGCGUCUGGGAUAGCUCAUUACUGAUGAUUGCGGGUUGAGUUUUCCCCUCUCUUAAGAACACAUGUUUUAGGUGUGGAGGUAGCUCCUUAAACUCAGGUGGUUUUGGUUUUUCCGCUGGAUCGAAUUUAAGAGACUCGUAUCUAGAUGGGGUUUCAGUGGGGUCCUCUAACCAUUUUACACACAGGUUUGUUUCUUCAUCCUCUUCUUCCCCCUCGCUUCUACUAGUACUUUCUCGACACCAGAGGGAAUUAGUGUUGGUUGCUCUAUAAUAAAAUCAUCAGCUAGGUCGAGUUGGUAACAUUUCGAUGUCUCUUUGGUGUGGAUAGUUUUAUUGUUGUUGAACGUUACCACCCUCUCGUCAUCCUUGAAUUUUAUUAUACCGGUAUCCAUAUCGAUCAAUGCUUUUCCCGUGGUUAAGAAGGGUCUGCCUAAGAGUAUAGGUACUUCUUCAUCUUCUUCGAUGUCCAUGAUUACAAAGUCUGCUGGGAAAGUUGCAUCAUUUACUUGUACCAGUACAUCCUCUAGAACUUCGUGUGGGUAUACCUUAGUUCGGUCAGCCAGAAUGAUUGUCAUCCUAGUUGGUUUUAUUUCUCCGCAGUUCAAUUUUUUCAUAAUUAAUUGCAACAUCAGAUUUACGCUGCCCCCUAGGUCGCAAAGGGCUCGUCCAACUUCUACUCCACCAAUUGAGCAUGGUACAGUAAUGCUGCCUGGAUCUUUGCAUUUUUGUGGAAGCUUCUUUUGAAACAAGGCACUGCAUUCUUUGGUAAGCAUGACAGUUCCUUUUUCUGAAAAUUGAAUCUUUCCGCUUACAAGUUUUUUCAUAUUUUGUUGAAGGGUGGUGCAAUGCGUAAAAGAUCCUUUAUCGGCAUGCUUAUCUCUGUCUUGUUCAUGUACCCAUCAAUUUUUUUGUCGAUUUCUUUUUGAGUUUCUUUCUUUUCGUUUUUUGAUGGGUAUGGUUGAACAAGGACUGGUGAUCUUGGGAUUGUUUGGGUAGGAGGCGUUUGGAUUGGUUGAGGGUUUUCCUGAAUUGUUGGUUCGCUUUCUUCUAUAGGAUCCUCUGUGCUGUAUUCCUUAUGAAUCCUGCGUCUCGAUUGCUUCCGUAUUUCUGUGUUGCGUUGGUCUGUCUAUCGGAUUUAUUCUCCGAUUGCGCAGCUCAAUCGCCUGACAUUGUUCCCUAAGCCUGGACAUUUCUUCGGUCAAGCGUUGAAUUUCAUUCCUUGAAGAUGUCAUGUGUUCUCCCAUAGCUGUUGUGAACUGAAUCAUCAUUACCUCGAGUUUGGUAGCUUGAGCGGUUUCCCCCUUUGAUUCGGUAUCUUCUUCCUGGAAUCUUUUUAUUCCUUCAUGUUGUUCCUUUUGUUGUAAGACUUCCAGUUGCUCUACUAUCUUGUUGUAUUGAUUUUGGCACAUAUUUUGGAUUAAUCCUUCUACCUCAACAUGAGUUUUCUAUAGGAGUUUUCUGUGGGAAUGAACCACCCAUAGCCCAAAGCAAAGUACAAAUUAAUGCAACCCAUUACAAUAUGCCGGUUCAGAUCCACUACAAAGAAAACAACAAUCAUCGGGACAUUCUCCUUGAAAUUGAGAGAAUUGUACUACGUCUUCCCAAAUCACCACCAUAAAGUGAGACCAAAGGGGGACACAAAACCUUUAUCAGAGUCCAUCACCAAAAAACCGUGAUGAGAAUCCUACAAAAGAACACUCUAUUUUCAAUUUUAAUCCCUACCUUUUUACAAUUUAAUUUUUAAUUUGAAGUUAUAGAUAAAUUAGUAAAGAUAAAAAAACUAACUAGUUAAAUAAUUAAAAUAAUAAUAUUUUAAGACCUUAUCAAUGACAUGCCAUAAAAAAAGUAAGUUGAAACAUGCAACGUGAAUUUUAUAAAAAAGCUAAGACAAAAUAUUUAAAGUAAAAUAUAUAGUAUUUCUAAAGUAAAUUUUUAAAGUAAAUUUUCACAUCAAAUAAAUAAAUAUUUUAUAAAAAUACUAUUUUAAUGUUGAUAUUUUAAAAAUAUUCAUGAAUUUUCAAAAUUAUAUAUCAAUUACAAAUUGUGUUAUAAAUCUAUAAAAUCUGCAAUGAAUCGCACAGGUUUUUUACUAGUUUUAUAAAAAUAAAAAUGAAUUUUGAUAAUUAUCAACAUUUUUAUGAAAUAUUUAUUAAGGUUAAGUGAUGACCAAUUGAUUGAGUUUAACAGAUACAAGCGAUUAAUUAGAGACAUUUAAUAUUAAUUUAAUUUUUAUAAAUGGCUUAUUGCAACUCCUAAUUGAUAUAAACUAAUUAAUUAAGUUAAUUUCAUUUUUUUUGUCAAAAAAAGAAAAAGUUAAUUUCAUUUUUAAAUUUAUAAUUUCCUUUUAGCGAUUCCAAAGUGCUAAAAACUAUUUAAUUUAAGUAAAAAAAAAGCAUCAAAUUUGUACUUAUAAAGCAAUAAAAAGAAAUAUGUUUAUUCCAAGCAAACCAAAAAAAAAAAUGGCUCAAUUUUUUAUGUUUGCUUCUGCUUUGAUCAUUUUUCUUUCCCUAUUUGUUGUUGUAAUGGGCAUAACAAGUAUGUUAUUUUCAUACCAUUUGAAAAAGUUUCAAUUUAUAUUGAGGAGUGAUAUAUCAACAUAAAUUUGUAGACAAAAAUACGACACAUUCUCUCUCUUCCCUCACAGCACGCAAUUCGAAACAUGCAAAAAAUAUUAAAAAAAAAUAAAAAGUAUAUAAAUGUUGUAUAUUUGUUUGAUAUUUGUGUUUGAAUAACAUUUUUGAUUUAUAUUAUACACAAAAUUUAUCAUCUUUUCAUAACAUUGUUUUUUCUUAUUUGACAAUCCAGGUACCAUUCCCUGCACGUCUAACGCUGAUUGUAAAGUAGUUGAUGGUUUCGUAGGUGAGUGUGCUAAUGGCUUUUGUGAGUACUAUAGGACAUAGGUGUGGAUCACUUGAAUAUGAAGGGAAAGACAUAUCUGCAUGAAUAAACGAGCAUGUUUGGAUUUUAGAUUCGUGCUCAUUAUCUACAAUUUGUUAAUAAAAAAGCUAUUAUUUAUUUUCACUUAUAUGAAGAUGA